rnacentral:rRNA from 1 species
CCUACGGGAGGCAGCAGUAGGGAAUCUUCGGCAAUGGGGGGAACCCUGACCGAGCAACGCCGCGUGAACGAAGAAGUUAUUCGUAAUGUAAAGUUCUUUUAACAGGGAAGAAAGAGAAAUUUGACGGUACCUGAAGAAUAAGCUCCGGCUAACUACGUGCCAGCAGCCGCGGUAAUACGUAGGGAGCGAGCGUUAUCCGGAAUUAUUGGGCGAAAAGGGUGCGUAAAUGGCAUAGUAAGUCUUUUGUAAAAAUGCUGGGCUCAACCCAGUAGGGCAAAAGAUACUGCAAAGCUAGAGUAUGACAGAGGCAAGAGGAACUACAUGUGUAGCGGUAAAAUGCGUAAAUAUAUGUAAGAACACCAGUGGCGAAGGCGGCUUGCUGGGUCGAUACUGACAUUGAGGCACGAAAGCGUGGGGAGCAAACAGGAUUAGAUACCCGAGUAGUC